UACAGAGGGUGCAAACGUUGUUCGGAAUCACUGGGCGUAAAGGGCGUGUAGGCGGGUAUGUAAGUCAGAUGUGAAAUCCCUGGGCUCAACCCAGGAACUGCAUUUGAAACUCCCUUUCUUGAGUGUCGGAGAGGAAAGUGGAAUUCCUGGUGUAGAGGUGAAAUUCGUAGAUAUCAGGAGGAACACCGGUGGCGAAGGCGGCUUUCUGGACGACAACUGACGCUGAGACGCGAAAGCGUGGGGAGCAAACAGG
rnacentral:rRNA from 1 species